rnacentral:rRNA from 1 species
UACGAAGGGGGCUAGCGUUGCUCGGAAUCACUGGGCGUAAAGCGCACGUAGGCGGCUUUUUAAGUCAGGGGUGAAAUCCUGGAGCUCAACUCCAGAACUGCCUUUGAUACUGAGAAGCUUGAGUCCGGGAGAGGUGAGUGGAACUGCGAGUGUAGAGGUGAAAUUCGUAGAUAUUCGCAAGAACACCGGUGGCGAAGGCGGCAUCCUGGACCGGCAUUGACGCUGAGGCGCGAAAGCCAGGGGAGCAAAGCGGG